rnacentral:tRNA from 1 species
GAGGGUAUAGCUCAGUGGUAGAGCGUGUGCUUAGCAUGCACAAGGUCCUGGGUUCAAUCCCCAGUACCUUCA